rnacentral:rRNA from 1 species
CGCGGUAUUUUGACCGUGCAAAGGUAGCAUAAUCAUUAGUUUAUUAAUUGUGGACUUGUAUGAAUGGUUAUACGAAAUAUUAACUGUCUCAUAUUUAUAUUUAAAAUUUAAAUUUUUAGUCAAAAUGCUUAAAUGUCUUUAAAGGACGAGAAGACCCUAUAGAUCUUUAUUUUUAAUAUGUAUAUAUAUUUUAGAUUAUAUAUUUAUAUUUAUAUUAUUUAUUUUGUUGGGGCGACAUAAAUAUACAAUUAACUAUUUAUUAUUAUAAUCAAUUAUUUUUGUUUAGUUGACCUUUUUUUAUUGUUAUAAGACUUAGAUACCUUAGGGAUAACAGCGUAAUUCUUUUUGAGAGUUCAUAUCGACAAAGGAGAUUGCGACCUCGAUGUUGGAUUAAGAUUAUAGUUAGGUGUAGGUGCUUAAUUAUUAAGUCUGUUCGACUUUUAAAUUCUUACAUGAUCUGAGUUCAAAACCGGAG